GUGUCAGCAGCCGCGGUAAGACGUAGGGGGCGAGCGUUGUCCGGAUUUACUGGGCGUAAAGAGCGCGUAGGCGGUCUGUUAAGUCAGAAGUGAAAUCUCCAGGGCUCAACCCGGAAACUGCUUUUGAUACUGAUAGACUUGAGUGUCGGAGAGGUAACUGGAAUUCCUGGUGUAGCGGUGACAUGCAUUGAUAUCAGGAGGAACACCCAUGGCGAAGGCAGGUUACUGGCCGACAACUGACGCUGAGGCGCGAAAGCGUGGGUAGCAAACAGAAUUAGAUACCCCGGUAGUCC
rnacentral:rRNA from 1 species